GAUGAACGCUGGCGGCGUGCCUAACACAUGCAAGUCGACAUGAGUGGCGAACGGGUGAGUAUAUCGUGGGUUACCUGCCCUCCGUUGUGGGAUAAGCCAUGGAAACGGGGUCUAAUACCGCAUAAAGGAGGAUGGGCUCGGGGCCUAUCAGCUUGUUGGUGGGGUAAUGGGCUACCAAGGCGGUGACGGGUAGCCGGCCUGAGAGGGGAACCGGCGACAUGGGGACUGUGUUACGGCCUAGGGUCGGACGGGUGGGGGAAGUGGGGGCAAUUGCAGAAUGGGCGAAAGACCGAUGCAGCGACGCCGAGGGGGGGAUGAGGGUUUUAGGGGUCUAAAACUCUUUCGCUAGCGAUCGGGUAGGUGGAGAAGAAGCGCCGGCUAACUACGUGCCAGCAGCCGCGGUAAUAC
rnacentral:rRNA from 1 species